rfam:Oryza rufipogon genomic scaffold, chr05
AAAAAAAAAAAACCUAGAUUUCCGUGCUAACAUUUGACUGUCCGUCUUAUAUAAAAAAAUUUUAUAAUUAGUAUUUUCAUUGUUGUUAGAUGAUAAAACAUGAUUAAUACUUUAUGCGUGACUUAUCUUUUAAAUUUUUUUUCAUAAUUUUUUCAAAUAAGACGAACGGUCAAACGUUAGACACGGAAACCAGGGUUUUUCUUUUU